GGAUUAGUAAGUUGGUCGUGCCUCUGGUAUGUACUGGCUUUACUGAUUCCUCCUUCUUGAAGAACUGUAAUGUCAUUAAUUUGGUGUUGCAGGGAAACAGGACUGUUACUUUGAAAAAAUUAGAGUGUUUAAAGCAGGCAUUCGCUUGAAUACAUUAGCAUGGAAUAAUGAAAUAGGACGUUUGAUCUUAUUUUGUUGGUUUCUAAGAUCGACGUA
rnacentral:rRNA from 1 species